CAGAUCAUAAGAGAAUGAAUUAGAAAUUAAUGAUAAAAUCCACUCCAACACCUGGAGGCUAAAUAAUAUGCUACUGAAUGAACAAUGGGUUACAGAAGACAUCAAGGAGCCCCUUGAAACCUGACCCCUUGCCUCAUUUGAAUAGCUUCUCAAUAAAAGGGGUCAGCGCAUGCUCUCUCUCUCUUCUUGCAGACUCUUAAGGUCUGAAGAGCCGUCACAACGACCCCAAAGAAAAAGGUAUUUGUGUCUCUUGUGUGGUUAUUUUGUGCCACCCAGUUAGCCCAGUUUAACUGGAGUGACACCUGAGCCUUUUAGUAGUGAGAACAGAAACCCGGCAGCAAACUGAAUACAAAACACAUCAAAAAGAUCAUGCACCAUGAUCAAGUGGGAUUCAUCCCAGGGAUGCAAGGUUGGUCCAACAUAUGCAAAUCAAUAAAUGUAAUUCAUCACAUCAUAGACUUAAAGAAUCAUAUGAUCAUCUCAAUAGACACAGAAAAAGCAUUUGAUAAAAUACAGCACCCCUUUAUGUUCAAAACACUAGGAAAACUAGGAAUAACGGGAACAUAUCUCAACAUCAUAAAGGCUACAUAUGCUAAGCCCCAGGCCAACAUCAUUCUAAAUGGAGAAGAGUUGAAGGCAUUCCCUUUAAAAACUGGAACAAGACAGGGAUGCCCUCUCUCUUUCACCACUUCUAUUUAACAUAGUUCUUGAAACACUGGCCAGAGCAAUUAGGUGAAAGAAAUUAAAGGGAUACACAUAGGAAAAGAAGAACUGAAACUGGCACUAUUUGCUGAUGAUAUGAUUGACUCUAUACCUGGAAGAUCCUAAAAGUUCCACCACAAAACUUCUAGAACUAGUAAAUGAAUUCAGCAAAGUAGCGGGAUAUAAAAUCAACACCCAUAAAUCAAAGGCAUUUCUGUACAUCAAAGACAAAUCCUCAGGAAGGGAAAUGAGGAAAACUACCACCAUUCUUAAUAGCCUCAAAACAAUAAAAUAAAAUACUUGGGAAUCAACUUAAAGAAAGAGGUGAAAGAUCUCUAUAAUGAAAAUUACAGAACCCUAAAGAAAGAAAUCAAAGAAGACCUUAGAAGAUGGAAAGAUCUACCUUGCUCUUAGAUAGGCAGAAUUAAUAUUAUCAAAAUGACCAUACUUCCAAAAGCACUAUAUAGAUUUAAUGCAAUUCUGAUCAAAAUCCCAAUGGCAUUCCUCAUAGAAAUAGAAAAAGCAAUGAUUAAACUCAUCUGGAAAAAUAAGAGACCCAGAAUAGCUAAAGCAAUCCUUAGCAGGAAGAGUGAAUCAGGUGGCAUCACUAUACCAGGCCUUAAACUAUACUACAGAGCAAUAGUAACAAAAACAGCAUGGUAUUGGCACCAAAACAGACUGGUGGACCAAUGAUACAGAAUAGAGGACACAGAGACUAACCCACAAAACUACAAUUAUCUUAUAUUAGACAAAGAUGCCAAGAACAUGCAUUGGAGAAAAGAUAGCCUCUUCAACAAAUGGUGCUGGGAAAACUGAAAAUCCAUAUGCAACAAAAUGAAAUUAAACCUCUCUCUCUCACCAUGCACAAAACUCAACUCAAAAUGGAUAAAGACUUAAGAAUACAACCAGAGACCCUGCAUCUGAUAGAAGAAAGAGUAGGCCCUAAUCUCCAUCAUGUGGGAUUAGGCCCCAACUUCCUUAAUAAGACUCCUGUGGCACAAGAAUUAAAACCAAGAAUCAAUAAAUGGGAUGGACUCAAACUAAAAAGUUUCUUCUCAGCUAAAGAAACAAUCUGUGAGGUGAGUAGAGAGCCUACAUCUUGGGAGCAAAUCUUUACUCCUCAUCCAUCAGAUAGAGCACUAAUCACUAGGGCAUAUAAAGAACUCAAAAAGCUAAACACCAAAAAAACAAAUAACCCAAUCAACAAAUUGGCCAAGGACCUGAACAGACACUUCUCAGAAGAUGAUGUACAAUCAAUCAACAAAUACAUGAAAAAAUGUUCAUCAUCACUAGCAAUUAGAGAAAUGCAAAUCAAAACCACUCUAAGAUUUCAUCUCACUCCAGUCAGAAUGGCAGCUAUUAUGCAUACAAAUAACAAUAAGUGUUGGCGAGGAUGCAGGGAAAAAGGUACACUCAUACACUGCUGGUCGGACUGCAAAUUGGUGCAGCCAAUAUGGAAAACAGUAUGGAGAUUUCUUGGAAAAUUGGGAAAGGAACCACCAUUUGACCCAGCUAUCCUUCUCCUCGGUCUAUACCCAAAGGACUUAAAAAGAGCAUACUAGAGGGACACAGCCACAUCAAUGUUUAUAGCAGCACAAUUCACAAUAGCUAAAUUGUGGAACCAACCCAGAUGCCCUUCAGUAGAUGAAUGGAUUAAAAAAAUGUGGCAUAUAUUCACAGUGGAAUUUGCAGGUAAAUGGAUGGAAUUAGAGAAGAGAAUGCUAAGUGAUGUUAGCCAAUCCCCCUCCCACACACAAAAAAAUGCCAAAUGUUUUCUUUGAUAUAAGGAGGCUGAUGCAUAGUGAGAUAGGGAGAGAGAGCAUGGGAGGUAUAGAUGAACUCUAGAUAGGGCAAAGGGGUGGGAGGGGAGGGAGGAGGAAUGGGGUGAUUAAUGAUGGUGGAAUGUGACGAUCAUUAUUACCCAAAGUACAGGUAUGAAGACCCGAAUUGUUGUGAAUAUACUAUGUUUACAACCAGAGAUAUGAAAAAUUGUGCUCUACAUAUGUAAUAAGAAUUAUAAUGCAUUCUGCUGUCAUGUAUAAAUAAAAAAAAAAGAAGAAAGAUCAAUGGAGUAAAUAAAGGGGAUUAAAAGGGAGGGAGGAGGAUGGGAUAAAGAAUAAACAAUGGUAUGAAUCUGACCUAAUAUUUCUAUGUACAUAUAUGAAUAUACCACAGAAUAUCACAUUGUCAUGUAUAUCCACAAGACACUAAUUUUAAAAAGCUAUAAGUAAAUAGUAGAAAGACCAGUAGAAUAAAG
rnacentral:lncRNA from 1 species